rnacentral:lncRNA from 1 species
GAUGAAGAAGAAAUAAGAAAUAAAGGUUGAAUAAGAGAAGAAGCCAAGGUGUAACAUUUUAGAUAGACCUAGAGACCACCCUCGCACGGAAGAACAACGACUUGUGUGCCUCAGACAGUCAGUUUUCCUACGGUGGUGUCAAUGGCACCCAGAAGCAGUGCAUGUGUGACGGCUUCAGUGACUACUGCAGUAAUGGAUAGGAUGAGUUUAUGCAGCUGUGUGGAAUUGACGAGUGCCGGGAGAAGAAUGUCUGGUGUGUGUGAGCCCCUUUGCAUCAACACUCGAGAGUCAUACUACUGGCAGUGCCGGCCAUACAGGGUACACACUCGUCUGGAAGUUCAACUGUGAAGACGUUGACGAGUGCGUGGAGUCGUCCAGAUCCUCUCCCUGAGGGAGUGUUCGGUCUGCCCAUCAGCAGCAACAGUCAGGAGAAGACGGUCAUUGAAGUGUCAAAAUCCCCAAGCUGGCAUGGUGAAUUCAGUACUACUAACGCCAAAGAAGUGAGGCAAGUUUUUGGAGUGAGCGUGCACGAC